GUUGGUGAUAUCAAUUCACAUCACCACCACAUGUAAACGUGAAUUAAUUGAAUGCCAUUGGUUAGAUGUAGGGUUUAGAAUGAGCCUCAUUGUGAUGUUUGUUAGUUGUAGAAUGUUUGUGGGGGGCUGAGUUAUUAAGGAAGAAGACAUGAGGAAUGGGAGGCACAGAGAACCUCACUGUGGAAGAUGCAAACAUAGAGGGAGAGAAGAAUUUCCUCUCUGUCUAUGGAAGCUUGAGAAAUAGGGAUGAGCUUGCUGUGGGGGCACAGCUGAAUGAUGCAGCAAGUUGAAACUGAAUAAUUGAUUGAAGUUUCUGGAAAUUGAACUUAUGGAAGUUUCGUAAGCAUUCCUAUCAGCACGAAACAG